UACGGAGGGGGCUAGCGUUGUUCGGAAUUACUGGGCGUAAAGCGCGCGUAGGCGGACCUGCAAGUCGGGGGUGAAAGCCCGAGGCUCAACCUCGGAACUGCCUUCGAUACUGCGGGUCUCGAGUCCGGGAGAGGUGAGUGGAAUUCCUAGUGUAGCGGUGAAAUGCGCAGAUAUCAGGAGGAACACCGGUGGCGAAGGCGGGUCUCUGGGCCGAUACUGACGCUGAGGAGCGAAAGCGUGGGGAGCGAACAGG
rnacentral:rRNA from 1 species